rnacentral:rRNA from 1 species
CCUACGGGGGGCAGCAGUGAGGAAUAUUGGUCAAUGGACGAGAGUCUGAACCAGCCAAGUAGCGUGAAGGAUGACUGCCCUAUGGGUUGUAAACUUCUUUUAUAUGGGAAUAAAACGUUCCACGUGUGGGAUUUUGUAUGUACCAUAUGAAUAAGGAUCGGCUAACUCCGUGCCAGCAGCCGCGGUAAUACGGAGGAUCCGAGCGUUAUCCGGAUUUAUUGGGUUUAAAGGGAGCGUAGGUGGAUUGUUAAGUCAGUUGUGAAAGUUUGCGGCGCAACCGUAAAAUUGCAGUUGAAACUGGCAGUCUUGAGUACAGUAGAGGUGGGCGGAAUUCGUGGUGUAGCGGUGAAAUGCUUAGAUAUCACGCAGAACUCCGAUUGCGAAGGCAGUUCACUGGACUGCAACUGACACUGAGGCUCGAAAGUGUGGGUAUCAAACAGGAUUAGAUACCCCAGUAGUC